rnacentral:rRNA from 1 species
UUCUGCAGCCACACUGCCUUGCACUGCAUUCCCAUCAGAUCUCAAAAGAUAAACAGGGUUGGGCUGGGUCAGCGUGUGGUUGGGACGCUUGAAAAAUACCAAGAUGUUUUGAAAA